ensembl:lncRNA
GUGGCGAGCCAACCGUGUUUGUGACUCUGACUUUAGACAGACUGCCAGGAUCAUCUUCUUCAUCUUCAUGGUGCUGUGCAGCAUCCUUUUCUCCUACCAUCCUUCCAUGAUGCUGGCCUAGACCUGAACACAUGCUAUCAAUUAGCACACCUUUCUGCUGAUCUGACUCUGUUGGCUGAAUCCCUUGCUGCUGACCCUGGUGUUUAUGGUUUCCCUCCACCUCUACACUACAGGAUUGUUCCUGCUACGGUUUGCAUGGAUGCUUCCACUCAAACAGAGACUUCUUCUGUUGUUUCCUCUGUGAAUAAUUUUGAGCUUACUGAUGAGGACAUGGCUUUCUCUGGGGCUGACCCUGACUUUAACCCUACUUCAGAUUCUCUCAGUCCUACUCCGUCCUCA